rnacentral:rRNA from 1 species
UACAGAGGGGGCCAGCGUUAUCCGGAAUUAUUGGGCGUAAAGAGCUCGUAGGCGGCUUGUCGCGUCGUCCGUGAAAACCUGCGGCUCAACUGCAGGCUGGCGGUCGAUACGGGCAGGCUGGAGUUCGGUAGGGGAGACUGGAAUUCCUGGUGUAGCGGUGAAAUGCGCAGAUAUCAGGAGGAACACCGGUGGCGAAGGCGGGUCUCUGGGCCGAUACUGACGCUGAGGAGCGAAAGCGUGGGGAGCGAACAGG